rnacentral:rRNA from 1 species
AAGAUGAAAAGCACUUUGGAAAGAGAGUUAAACAGUACGUGAAAUUGCUGAAGGGAAACGCUUGAAGUCAGUCGCGUCAUCCAGAACUCAGCCUGCUUCUGCCUGGUGUACUUUCUGGUUGACGGGCCAGCAUCAGUUUUGACCGCUGGAAAAAGGCCAUGGGAAUGUGGCACCUUCGGGUGUGUUAUAGCCUGUGGUCAUAUACAGCGGUUGGGACUGAGGACCGCAGCACGC